rnacentral:rRNA from 1 species
UCUGAAUCUGCGAACGGCUCCGCAAACCAGUUGUAAACCAUAGCAAGCAUGCCUUGGGACCCGGUCGCAAGGCCGGGACCCUUGGCUACAGGGAUAACCCUGGUAAUUCUGAGGCUAAUACAUGAACGUACCCCCUGGCCGACGGGCAACCGGAGGCUGGGGACCGUGCGAGUAGUCGCAAGGAUAUUGGGAAUAGUCGCACAGUAAGACCACCAUACCAAACGGUCCUCGCUUCGCUGGCCUCACGGCUGGCUGGUGGGUGUCCGGGUGGCUCUUGCACGGUGCUUCUGACCUAUCAACUAGAUGGCAGCGUAAGGGACAUGCUAUGGU